rnacentral:rRNA from 1 species
UGCGGUUAAAACGUUCGUAGUUGAAUUUGUGUCCCACACGGGUAAUGCACCCAAGUGCGGGUUUUGCAUUACUUGUUGCAUAUGUAUGUCUACCGUAAAAAGUGGCAUAUGUAUGUGACUUUAAGUGUGACGGAUGUUUUACCGGU